GGAGAUGGUUGGGAAGUGGAGCAGAAGUCUGAUUCUCAGCAAUAAGAGUCAAAAGCGCCUCUCAGAGUCCAGGGACCCCAGGGCAGAGGCCAAGUUUGCAGUGGAGGAAGGACUUUGGGCGGCAUCUAGCCCUACCCUUUUAUUUUGCAGGUGAGGAAGCUCUGUGACCCAGAAAGGGGAAGAUGCUCAUUCUCAUCGUCAUCUUCUGCUUCUUCCAGCCCUGGUCCAGGAUACCCAAGGCAAUUGGGGGUUAAGUGACUUGCCCAGGGUCACACAGC